AUUGAACGCUGGCGGCAUGCUUUACACAUGCAAGUCGAACGGUAACAGGGUGCUUGCACCGCUGACGAGUGGCGAACGGGUGAGUAAUGCGUCGGAACGUGCCGAGUAGUGGGGGAUAACGCAGCGAAAGUUGUGCUAAUACCGCAUACGUACUGAGGUAGAAAGUGGGGGACCUUCGGGCCUCACGCUAUUCGAGCGGCCGACGUCUGAUUAGCUAGUAGGUGAGGUAAAGGCCCACCUAGGCGACGAUCAGUAGCGGGUCUGAGAGGAUGAUCCGCCACACUGGGACUGAGACACGGCCCAGACUCCUACGGGAGGCAGCAGUGGGGAAUUUUGGACAAUGGGCGCAAGCCUGAUCCAGCAAUGCCGCGUGCAGGAAGAAGGCCUUCGGGUUGUAAACUGCUUUUGUACGGAGCGAAAAGGCUCUCUCUAAUACAGGGGGCUCAUGACGGUACCGUAAGAAUAAGCACCGGCUAACUACGUGCCAGCAGCCGCCGUAACAC
rnacentral:rRNA from 1 species